rnacentral:rRNA from 1 species
UACAGAGACUGCAAGCGUUAUUCGGAUUCACUGGGCGUAAAGGGUGCGCAGGCGGCCAAGUGUGUGAGGCGUGAAAGCCCGGGGCUUAACCCCGGAAUUGCACCUCAAACUACAUGGCUAGAGCAUUGGAGAAGGUAGCAGAAUUCAUGGUGUAGCAGUGAAAUGCGUAGAUAUCAUGAGGAAUACCAGAGGCGAAGGCGGCUACCUGGACAAUUGCUGACGCUCAGGCACGAAAGCGUGGGGAGCAAAAGGG